UGGGGAAUAUUGCACAAUGGGCGCAAGCCUGAUGCAGCCAUGCCGCGUGUGUGAAGAAGGCCUUCGGGUUGCAAAGCACUUUCAGCGAGGAGGAAGGUGGUGAGCUUAAUACGCUCAUCAAUUGACGUUACUCGCAGAAGAAGCACCGGCUAACUCCGUGCCAGCAGCCGCGGUAAUACGGAGGGUGCAAGCGUUAAUCGGAAUUACUGGGCGUAAAGCGCACGCAGGCGGUUUGUUAAGUCAGAUGUGAAAUCCCCCGGGCUCAACCUGGGAACUGCAUUUGAAACUGGCAAGCUAGAGUCUCGUAGAGGGGGGUAGAAUUCCAGGUGUAGCGGUGAAAUGCGUAGAGAUCUGGAGGAAUACUGGUGGCGAAGGGCGGCCCCCCUGGACGAAGACUGACGCUCAGGUGCGAAAGCGUGGGGAGCAAAACAGGAUUAGAUACCCCUGGUAGUCCACGCUGUAAAACGAUGUCGAUUUUGGAGGUUGUGCCCCUUGAGGCGUGGCUUCCGGAGCUAACGCGUUAAAUCGACCGCCUGGGGAGUACGGCCGCAAGGUU
rnacentral:rRNA from 1 species